rnacentral:rRNA from 1 species
GUGUCAGCAGCCGCGGUGAUACGGGGGGGCAAGCGUUGUUCGGAAUUACUGGGCGUAAAGGGCUCGUAGGUGGCCAACUAAGUCAGACGUGAAAUCCCCAGGCUUAACCUGGGAACUGCGUCUGAUACUGGAUGGCUUGAAUUCGGGAGAGGGAUGCAGAAUUCCAGGUGUAGCGGUGAAAUGCGUAGAUAUCUGGAGGAAUACCGGUGGCGAAGGCGGCAUCCUGGACCGAUAUUGACACUGAUGAGCGAAAGCCAGGGGAGCAAACGGGAUUAGAUACCCCGGUAGUCCUGGCCCUAAACGAUGAAUGCUUGGUGUGACGGGUAUCGAUCCCUGUCGUGCCGAAGCUAACGCAUUAAGCAUUCCGCCUGGGGAGUACGGUCGCAAGGCUGAAACUCAAAUGAAUU